AUGUGGCUGGCUCGCAAAGAUCGGGUAUACACCAAUGAGAGCAGGUUGCGUCGCUCAAUAGCUUCCUUUGAUGCCUGCCCGUUCUGCAGCACCUGCGAGGACAUUACCCAUCUCCUUCUCCGCUUCUCUACUCUUCGGCCGCUUUGGGAGGAGCUCGACACCCUCUAUAGGGGGUCGCCGCACAACGUCUGGGAUAUUUGGCGGCAGGCCCCGAGGGACAAAGUUCACUCCACGGUUCUCAUCACAAUCUUCUGGAACACUUGGAAGCGUCGGAACGCCAAGGUCUUUUGACAAGAAACCCUGCACAUCCAUCACAUUGCUAGGGUAGCGGCGGACGAUCUGAAGCUUUGGUCUCAAAGAUGCAAGAAUGCCCAGCGAAAAUUGCUCCUCCAAGAUUGGGGCUCCAUGUUGUCAAACCUUGCCAGAAGAUUGUAA
rnacentral:rRNA from 1 species